AGUCGUAACAAGGUUUCCGUAGGUGAACCUGCGGAAGGAUCAUUAAAGAGUAAGGGUGCUCAGCGCCCGACCUCCAACCCCUUGUUGUUAAAACUACCUUGUUGCUUUGGCGGGACCGCUCGGUCUCGAGCCGCUGGGGAUUCGUCCCAGGCGAGCGCCCGCCAGAGUUAAACCAAACUCUUGUUAUUAAACCGGUCGUCUGAGUUAAAAUUUUGAAUAAAUCAAAACUUUCAACAACGGAUCUCUUGGUUCUCGCAUCGAUGAAGAACGCAGCGAAAUGCGAUAAGUAAUGUGAAUUGCAGAAUUCAGUGAAUCAUCGAAUCUUUGAACGCACAUUGCGCCCCUUGGUAUUCCGAGGGGCAUGCCUGUUCGAGCGUCAUUACACCACUCAAGCUAUGCUUGGUAUUGGGUGCCGUCCUUAGUUGGGCGCGCCUUAAAGACCUCGGCGAGGCCUCACCGGCUUUAGGCGUAGUAGAAUUUAUUCGAACGUCUGUCAAAGGAGAGGACUUCUGCCGACUGAAACCUUUUAUUUUUCUAGGUUGACCUUGGAUCAGGUAGGGAUACCCGCUGAACUUAAGCAUAUCAAUUAAAAGUCG
rnacentral:rRNA from 1 species